UCGCUUCUACCGAUUGAACGUUCCGGUGAACUCUUCAGAGCCAUCAAGAUUAUAAGGAAUUAUACAUUUUCUUGGCGAAGUUGGGUAAACCUUAUCAUUUAGAGGAAGGAG
rnacentral:rRNA from 1 species